rnacentral:rRNA from 1 species
AGAGCGAACGCUGGCGGCGUGCUUAACACAUGCAAGUCGAGUGCGCGCCUGUAGCAAUACAGGUGGCGCACGGCGCACGGGUGCGUAACACGUGGGUAAUCUGCCCUUCGAUGGGGAAUAACUCGCCGAAAGGCGAGCUAAUUCCGCAUAACAUUCCGAGAACUUUGGUUUUUGGAUUCAAAGGCGUAAGUCGUCGGAGGAGGAGCCCGCGCACGAUUAGCUAGUUGGUGAGGUAAUGGCUCACCAAGGCUAUGAUCGUUAG